CACAAACGAUGUGGAUGAGGUCGAGGACAUGAGGAGCCCACCGGAGAGAGAACAGAUGUCACAUGCCUCUUGCACUACGCUCAGGGUUGUGUGUGUGUUCUGCGCUGUGACAGGUAGCGUGUCGUGGUUGAAAGGGUAGCAGAGGGGCUGGAGCCAAUCCCAGCUGGCAACAGGCGAGAUGUGGGGUACACCCUGGACAGGUCCUAAAAUGAAUAUACACAAUAAAGACAGACGAAAGCCUCUAUUCAAAAAAUGGAACUGAGGCAAGCCAAUAGGGAGCGGAAAUGUUGAAAGCAAACUCGACAAGAAAAGGGGGUUAUGUGCUGGACUAUUUCUUACCUCUGAACAAUGCCUGUCACCCACCAGAAACUCCAAGAAGUGACUGUGGCUAAGAAAGAGUCCAGUUUUCGACCAAAUAUGAACUACAGAAAAUUAUACUUGCC